rnacentral:rRNA from 1 species
GGGUAAGUUCCGACGCGCAUGAAUAGUGUAACGACUGGAGCACUGUCUCCACGACGGACUCGGUGAAAUAGUAGUGGCGGUGAAGAUGCCGCCUACCCGCAGCAAGACGGAAAGACCCCGUGGACCUUUACUGUAGGCUUUUAUUGGCCAUGAGCAUAUGUCGCGUAGGAUAAGUGGGAGGCUUCGAAGCCGGGUUUCUGGACCUGGUGGAGCCGUUGGUGAAAUACCACUCUUUGUACGUUUGUGGCCUAACCUCGAUUCCCGUGAAGCCGGGCGAGGGACAGUGAGUGCCGGUCAGUUUGACUGGGGCGGUCUCCUC